rnacentral:rRNA from 1 species
ACAAUGCGGGACUAUCAGUCUUGCAAUUGGAUUGAGAACAAUGUACAACUCUUAUCGAUAAGCCAUUGGAGGGCAAGUCUGGUGCCAGCAGCCGCGGUAAUUCCAGCUCCAAUAGCGUAUAUUAACGUUGUUGCAGUUAAAAAGCUCGUAGUUGAAGUGUGGGUGAUCGCUGUUGUGAGACUUCGGUCUCUCGACAGUAAGUCACCCCCUUCCAGUAUCCAGUAGUGGGUAUUCAGUUACUUACUAUUGUGUGUUGGUCCUUUACUGUGAGAAAAUUAGAGUGUUCAAAGCAGGCGUUUGCUUGAAUAGAUUAGCAUGGAAUAAUAAUUGAAGGCUUUCGUGUUCGAUUUGAUUGGUUUGUUCAUGGAAGCAAGGUUAAAAGGAACAGUUGGGGGUAUUCAUAUUCACUAGUUAGAGGUGAAAUUCUCGGAUUUAUGGAAGAUGAACAAGUGCGAAAGCA